CCCACUUUGAAAGGUCUCUUUUUCUUUCCUCUCUUUCGCAUUCUGCAACCUCACGACCCGAGAAGCUAAAGAGAGAGACCAGAAAUCGUCAUAUCUGAUCUUAAUCUUUUACUGGGUCAUCCUUCCUGUUUCUGGGAAAUCGUAAUUUCUUUCUCUGUGAGAAGUUCGCAUUUUUAUCGUCACCGAUACAUAGAAUGUAUGUGAAAGCGGUGCCACCGACGGAUUUGAAUAGGAACACCGA
rnacentral:misc_RNA from 1 species